rnacentral:lncRNA from 10 species
GCACUUUGGGAGGCCGAGGCGGGUGGAUCGCUUGAGGUUGGGAGUUCGAGAAAGUAAGGAAAGAGAAGAAGAGUCCCUGCCUGGUAAUCCAUAGAAUUCUUCCAGAUCUUAUCCAAGACCACCAAGGUGGUACAUCUAUGAGUCUGCAAGAACCACAGCAUUACCGGGCUUGGGGUACCACCUAAUGCAGAUAUGACUGCAGUGACCAAAAACUUAGAUUACAACACACAAGUCCUUUUAAAUACCUGGAAAGCCAUCCCAAAAAGGACUGGUACAGACAAGCCCAAACUGCAAAGACUAUAAUAAAUACCUAACUCUUCAAUGCCCAAAUAAUGACAAACAUCCACAGGAAUCA